GACUCAGCCAUAAUGACUUUUCCUAACCAAUUUCAGUCACAGUUCAGAUAUCAAAUUAAAGAAUUCAAGAAUCCAUUUAAAAACUCAACCAAAACAAGACAGAAACUUGACCUUCAAGUUUAAGACAACAAAGGCAAAUGGAUAAUCUUUAUUCACAUAAAAAGUUCAUCUAGAACUUCUAGAUUCAAA